rnacentral:rRNA from 1 species
CCUACGGGAGGCAGCAGUGAGGAAUAUUGGUCAAUGGGCGGGAGCCUGAACCAGCCAAGCCGCGUGAGGGAAGAAGGUACAGCGUAUCGUAAACCUCUUUUGUCAGGGAACAAAGGCGGGGACUAGUCCCCGGAUGAGGGUACCUGACGAAAAAGCAUCGGCUAACUCCGUGCCAGCUGCCGCGGUAAUACGGAGGCUGCGAGCGUUAUCCGGAUUUAUGGGGGUGAAAGGGUGCGCAGGCGGCCUGUUAAGUCAGCGGUAAAAGCCCGGGGCUCAACCCCGGCGAGCCGGUGAAAGUGGGGGGCUGGAGUUGGAGAGAAGUACGCAGAAUGCGCGGUGUAGCGGUGAAAUGCUUAGAUAUCGCGCAGAACCCCGAUUGCGAAGGCAGCGUACCGGCUCCACACUGACGCUGAGGCACGAAAGCGUGGGUAUCGAACAGGAUUAGAUACCCUUGUAGUC